rnacentral:RNase_P_RNA from 1 species
CAAGUAGGUCAGGUGGUCGCGGGCGCACUUUUCGGUGUGCCUGAGGAAAGUCCGGGCUCCACAGGGCAGGGUGCUGGGUAACGCCCAGCGAGGGUGACCUCAGGGAAAGUGCCACAGAAACAUACCGCCUCGCGCGGAUUUUAUCUGCGCCCAAGGCAUGCCCAGCCUGCGGCGCAGAUGGAGAGUCGGUUCGGGCGCGGGGUAAGGGUGAAAAGGUGGUGUAAGAGACCACCGGCAGCCGGGUGACCGGCUGGCCAGGCAAACCCCACCCGGAGCAAGACCAAAUAGGGGGGCAAUGACGCUGCCCGCCGAGCCCCCGGGUAUGGUCGCUAGAGAGGGAGGGUAACCUUCCUCCAAGAUGGAUGACCACCCUCGACAGAACCCGGCUUAUAGACCUGCUUGCCAU